rnacentral:rRNA from 1 species
GCAGGCGCGAAACCUUUACACUGCACGACAGUGCGAUAGGGGGAUCCCAAGUGCACAGGCAUAGCGCCUGUGCUUUUCGGUACCGUAAGGUGGUACCAGAAUAAGGGCUGGGCAAGACCGGUGCCAGCCGCCGCGGUAAUACCGGCAGCCCAAGUGAUGGCCGAUCUUAUUGGGCCUAAAGCGUCCGUAGCUGGCCGCGCAAGUCCAUCGGGAAAUCCACCUGCUCAACAGGUGGGCGCCCGGUAGAAACUGCGUGGCUUGGGACCGGAAGGCGCGACGGGUACGUCCGGGGUAGGAGUGAAAUCCCGUAAUCCUGGACGGACCGCCGAUGGCGAAAGCACGUCGCGAGAACGGAUCCGACAGUGAGGGACGAAAGCCAGGGUCUCGAACCGGAUUAGAUACCCGGGUAGUCCUGGCCGUAAACAAUGUCUGCUAGGUGUGGCUCCCACUACGAGUGGGUGCUGUGCCGUAGGGAAGCCGCUAAGCAGACCGCCUGGGAAGUACGUCCGCAAGGAUGAAACUUAAAGGAAUUGGCGGGGGAGCACUACAACCGGAGGAGCCUGCGGUUUAAUUGGAUUCAACGCCGG